rnacentral:pre_miRNA from 1 species
AGCUUCUUUACGGUGCUGCCUUGUAUCAUGUAUGUCAAGCAGCAUUGUACAGGGCUAUGA